CCCCUCUCAGGGUCACAACUGGAGAGUUUCCAGUACUCUUUCAGUCUCGGCUACAAGAGGGAGAGUCAAGCAGAGGCCUACCCACUCUAUUCUCAGCUUGGCCAGUGGCUAGCGAGUGGAAGACAAUCUGCUACAAGU
rnacentral:snoRNA from 1 species